GUGGGGAAUAUUGGACAAUGGGCGAAAGCCUGAUCUAGCCAUGCCGCGUGUGUGAAGAAGGUCUUCGGAUUGUAAAGCACUUUAAGUUGGGAGGAAGGGCAGUAAGUUAAUACCUUGCUGUUUUGACGUUACCGACAGAAUAAGCACCGGCUAACUUCGUGCCAGCAGCCGCGGUAAUACGAAGGGUGCAAGCGUUAAUCGGAAUUACUGGGCGUAAAGCGCGCGUAGGUGGUUUUGUAAGUUGGAGGUGAAAUCCCCGGGCUCAACCUGGGAACUGCCUCCAAAACUGCAUGACUAGAGUACGGUAGAGGGUAGUGGAAUUUCCUGUGUAGCGGUGAAAUGCGUAGAUAUAGGAAGGAACACCAGUGGCGAAGGCGACUACCUGGACUGAUACUGACACUGAGGUGCGAAAGCGUGGGGAGCAAACAGGAUUAGAAACCCGUGUAGUCC
rnacentral:rRNA from 1 species